CUGGCUCAGGACGAACGCUGGCGGCACGCUUAACACAUGCAAGUCGAACGGAGUUAUUUGAGUUACUUAGAAUAACUAGUGGCGGACGGGUGAGUAACACGUGAGCAACCUACCUUAGAGAGAGGGAUAGCUUCUGGAAACGGAUGGUAAUACCUCAUAAUGUAACUGUACCGCAUGAUACAGUUACCAAAGAUUUAUCACUCUGAGAUGGGCUCGCGUCUGACUAGAUAGUUGGUGAGGUAACGGCUCACCAAGUCGACGAUCAGUAGCCGGACUGAGAGGUUGAACGGCCACAUUGGGACUGAGACACGGCCCAGACUCCUACGGGAGGCAGCAGUGGGGAAUAUUGUACAAUGGGGAAACCCUGAUGCAGCGAUGCCGCGUGGAGGAAGAAGGUUUUCGGAUUGUAAACUCCUGUCUUAAAGGACGAUAAUGACGGUACUUUAGGAGGAAGCUCCGGCUAACUACGUGCCAGCCGCCGC
rnacentral:rRNA from 1 species